rnacentral:rRNA from 1 species
GUGGCAGCCGCCGCGGUAAAACCAGCACCUCAAGUGGUCAGGAGGAUUAUUGGGCCUAAAGCAUCCGUAGCCUGCUUUGUAAGUUUUCGGUUAAAUCCAUGUGCUCAACAUAUGGGCUGCCGGGAAUACUGCACAGCUAGGGAGUGGGAGAGGUAGACGGUACUCCAUAGGAAGGGGUAAAAUCCUUUGAUCUAUGGAAGACCACCUGUGGCGAAGGCGGUCUACCAGAACACGUUCGACGGUGAGGGAUGAAAGCUGGGGGAGCAAACCGGAUUAGAUACCCGGGUAGUCCCAGCUGUAAACUAUGCAAACUCGGUGAUGCAUUGGCUUGUGGCCAGUGCAGUGCCGCAGGGAAGCCGUUAAGUUUGCCGCCUGGGAAGUACGUACGCAAGUAUGAAACUUAAAGGAAUUGGCGGGGGAGCACCACAAGGGGUGAAGCCUGCGGUUCAAUUGGAGUCAACGCCAGAAAUCUUACCUGGGGAGACAGCAGAAUGAAGGUCAAGCUGAAGACUUUACCAGACAAGCUGAGAGGUGGUGCAUGGCCGUCGCCAGCUCGUGCCGUGAGAUGUCCUGUUAAGUCAGGUAACGAGCGAGAUCCCUGCCUCUAGUUGCCACCAUUACUCUCAGGAGUAGUGGGGCGAAUUAGCGGGACCGCCACAGUUAAUGUGGAGGAAGGAAGGGGCCACGGCAGGUCAGUAUGCCCCGAAACUCUGGGGCCACACGCGGGCUGCAAUGGUAGUGACAAUGAGUUCCGAAACCGAGAGGUGGAGGUAAUCUUCAAACGCUACCACAGUUAUGAUUGAGGGCUGCAACUCGCCCUCAUGAAUAUGGAAUCCCUAGUAACUGCGUGUCAUUAUCGCGCGGUGAAUACGUCCCUGCUCCUUGCACACACCGCCCGUC